AAAGGAUUACUUGUAUAGAUGUAGGGGUUAUUUUUCUCCUCACAUGUAAUUCUUUGGGCCUAUAAUUGUCCAAAAGUCCAGAAGCUAUGUUAUCUUGUCAAAUGUAGUCUAUUUCAGCAUUACCUGCUGUCUCAGGUGUUGUGACACCACACUGUCAAUGACAUCAGGUGAAGGAUGAACGCCAGUGAUGAUGACUUGAAGUACUGAUGAAAAACAGGUGUCUGGAUGUACCUGAAUGUCAAGCAUCAGGAAUGAGAGAAAGGACUACAGUUCUCGCAGGCAUGAGAGAGAUCUGGGAAGAGAGAAGACAGGGGAAAGCAAAUAGCAGAAAGUGGAUUCCCAAAGUUUUUGUGUCUCCAGGAAGGGUAUAAUUUAUAAAAUUUAUUUUAAAUGUGGCUAUGGAGGAUUUUGGCAUGGAAGAACCAUCUCUCCAAACUGAGAAGGCCAAGGACCAAAAGAAUAAUAAAUAUAUGAUGUUUUUUCCAAAGAAUAGAAUCAGGGAAUCCUUGGAGUAUAUGUGUUUAAGAUGGUGGCAUCAUAAAAUGGAAGGAGCCAGAAUUGUGAAGCACAGCUCUCCUGACUUA